rnacentral:rRNA from 1 species
UUGACCCGGCGAUGUCCGAAUGGGGAAACCCAGUGCAAUCCGUUGCACUAUCGUUAACUGAAUACAUAGGUUAACGAGGCGAACCGGGGGAACUGAAACAUCUAAGUACCCCGAGGAAAAGAAAUCAACCGAGAUUCCCCCAGUAGCGGCGAGCGAACGGGGAGCAGCCCGGAGUCUGAAUCAGCUUGUGUGUUAGUGGAACGGUCUGGAAAGUCCGACGGUACAGGGUGAUAGUCCCGUACACGAAAGCACACAUGCUGUGAACUCGAAGAGUAGGGCGGGACACGUGGUAUCCUGUCUGAAUAUGGGGGGACCAUCCUCCAAGGCUAAAUACUCCUGACUGACCGAUAGUGAACCAGUACCGUGAGGGAAAGGCGAAAAGAACCCCGGCGAGGGGAGUGAAAAAGAACCUGAAACCGUGUACGUACAAGCAGUGGGAGCCUCUUUAUGGGGUGACUGCGUACCUUUUGUAUAAUGGGUCAGCGACUUAUAUUCUGUAGCAAGGUUAACCGUAUAGGGGAGCCGAAGGGAAACCGAGUCUUAACUGGGCGUUAAGUUGCAGGGUAUAGACCCGAAACCCGGUGAUCUAGCCAUGGGCAGGUUGAAGGUUGGGUAACACUAACUGGAGGACCGAACCGACUAAUGUUGAAAAAUUAGCGGAUGACCUGUGGCUGGGGGUGAAAGGCCAAUCAAACCGGGAGAUAGCUGGUUCUCCCCGAAAGCUAUUUAGGUAGCGCCUCGUGAACUCAUCUUCGGGGGUAGAGCACUGUUUCGGCUAGGGGGCCAUCCCGGCUUACCAACCCGAUGCAAACUACGAAUACCGAAGAAUGUUAUCACGGGAGACACACGGCGGGUGCUAACGUCCGUCGUGAAGAGGGAAACAACCCAGACCGCCAGCUAAGGUCCCAAAGUCAUGGUUAAGUGGGAAACGAUGUGGGAAGGCACAGACAGCCAGGAUGUUGGCUUAGAAGCAGCCAUCAUUUAAAGAAAGCGUAAUAGCUCACUGGUCGAGUCGGCCUGCGCGGAAGAUGUAACGGGGCUAAACCAUGCACCGAAGCUGCGGCAGCGACACUAUGUGUUGUUGGGUAGGGGAGCGUUCUGUAAGCCGUUGAAGGUGUGCUGUGAGGCAUGCUGGAGGUAUCAGAAGUGCGAAUGCUGACAUAAGUAACGAUAAAGCGGGUGAAAAGCCCGCUCGCCGGAAGACCAAGGGUUCCUGUCCAACGUUAAUCGGGGCAGGGUGAGUCGACCCCUAAGGCGAGGCCGAAAGGCGUAGUCGAUGGGAAACAGGUUAAUAUUCCUGUACUUGGUGUUACUGCGAAGGGGGGACGGAGAAGGCUAUGUCAGCCGGGCGACGGUUGUCCCGGUUUAAGCAUGUAGGCGGAGGUUCCAGGUAAAUCCGGUACCUUGUUAACGCUGAGGUGUGAUGACGAGGCACUACGGUGCUGAAGUGAUAAAUGCCCUGCUUCCAGGAAAAGCCUCUAAGCAUCAGGUAACACGAAAUCGUACCCCAAACCGACACAGGUGGUCAGGUAGAGAAUACCAAGGCGCUUGAGAGAACUCGGGUGAAGGAACUAGGCAAAAUGGUGCCGUAACUUCGGGAGAAGGCACGCUGAUGUGUAGNNNNNNNNNNNNNNNNNNNNNNNNNNNNNNNNNNNNNNNNNNNNNNNNNNNNNNNNNNNNNNNNNNNNNNNNNNNNNNNNNNNNNNNNNNNNNNNNNNCGGAGCUGAAAUCAGUCGAAGAUACCAGCUGGCUGCAACUGUUUAUUAAAAACACAGCACUGUGCAAACACGAAAGUGGACGUAUACGGUGUGACGCCUGCCCGGUGCCGGAAGGUUAAUUGAUGGGGUUAGCGGCAACGCGAAGCUCUUGAUCGAAGCCCCGGUAAACGGCGGCCGUAACUAUAACGGUCCUAAGGUAGCGAAAUUCCUUGUCGGGUAAGUUCCGACCUGCACGAAUGGCGUAAUGAUGGCCAGGCUGUCUCCACCCGAGACUCAGUGAAAUUGAACUCGCUGUGAAGAUGCAGUGUACCCGCGGCAAGACGGAAAGACCCCGUGAACCUUUACUAUAGCUUGACACUGAACACUGGUCCUUGAUGUGUAGGAUAGGUGGGAGGCUUUGAAGCGUGGACGCCAGUCUGCGUGGAGCCAACCUUGAAAUACCACCCUUUAAUGGCUGGUGUUCUAACGUAGACCCGUUACCCGGGUUGCGGACAGUGUCUGGUGGGUAGUUUGACUGGGGCGGUCUCCUCCCAAAGAGUAACGGAGGAGCACGAAGGUUGGCUAAUCCUGGUCGGACAUCAGGAGGUUAGUGCAAUGGCAUAAGCCAGCUUGACUGCGAGCGUGACGGCGCGAGCAGGUGCGAAAGCAGGUCAUAGUGAUCCGGUGGUUCUGAAUGGAAGGGCCAUCGCUCAACGGAUAAAAGGUACUCCGGGGAUAACAGGCUGAUACCGCCCAAGAGUUCAUAUCGACGGCGGUGUUUGGCACCUCGAUGUCGGCUCAUCACAUCCUGGGGCUGAAGUAGGUCCCAAGGGUAUGGCUGUUCGCCAUUUAAAGUGGUACGCGAGCUGGGUUUAGAACGUCGUGAGACAGUUCGGUCCCUAUCUGCCGUGGGCGCUGGAGAAUUGAGGGGGGCUGCUCCUAGUACGAGAGGACCGGAGUGGACGCAUCACUGGUGUUCGGGUUGUCAUGCCAAUGGCACUGCCCGGUAGCUAAAUGCGGAAGAGAUAAGUGCUGAAAGCAUCUAAGCACGAAACUUGCCCCGAGAUGAGUUCUCCCUGAGACUUUAAGUCUCCUGAAGGAACGUUGAAGACGACGACGUUGAUAGGUCGGGUGUGUAAGCGCAGCGAUGCGUUGAGCUAACCGAUACUAAUGAACCGUGAGGCUUAACCUUACAAC